rnacentral:rRNA from 1 species
UACGUAGGGGGCAAGCGUUGUCCGGAUUUAUUGGGCGUAAAGAGCGUGUAGGCGGCCAAGCAGGUCUGCUGUGAAAACUCGAGGCUCAACCUCGAGACGUCGGUGGAAACCGUUUGGCUAGAGUCCGGAAGAGGAGAGUGGAAUUCCCGGUGUAGCGGUGAAAUGCGCAGAUAUCGGGAAGAACACCCGUGGCGAAGGCGGCUCUCUGGGACGGUACUGACGCUGAGGCGCGAAAGCUCGGGGAGCGAACGGG